UAACACAGCAUAACUUUCUAACAUUACACAUAUAAUAUUCAUUGUAAUAUUUGAGAAAAGCCAAUCAUAAAAUAUGCAUUUUUCACACUUUGCUCUUGCUGCUGAGGCACUGGCCAUGGAAAGGGCACAAAGGAAGAGUUCCCAGUCACAGGGACUGCUGGGGCCUGGUGGGAUUUUUAAUGAGUUCUGGUUCCUGUGCAUCAUUAACUAGCCCAGGGAAGCGCAGUGCAUCCCCACCAGCACGCUCCUGUUAUGCAGGGUAGAAAUCCAGGCUCACAGAUAAUUUGAAAAGAUCUCCUAAAGACACCUGCAGAUUCUGGCAGGCAGUAGCUCCUCGCAGCUGUUUCCCACCCCCUCUCUUUCCAAGGCAUUGUGUGGUAAACUGGAACACUCUGUUCUCCUCAGGCAUUUUAUUGACAUAGCAGAGGAGCUUGUCAGGAAGAGCAUUUCUCAGGUACUUGGUACUGAAGUUCCUCAGAUGCUGACUGCCUCCAUUUUAGCUGGAAUUGGUUUCCAGGGUGUCCCACCCCCUUGGGGCUUUUUGUCUAAACUGUGGGAUCCCCCUGGCUCGCUGUGAUCUCAUCUCACCAAGAGCCUUUCUCUUCAUAACCCUCUGUCAAAUAUCCCUGUUUUGAGGGUUCCCUUCCUGCCUGAAGGUAAAGUCACUUUGAAAUGGUUUUCCUGUGCAAAGGUCCAAUUGAAGUAGCUAUUAAUUUUCCAAAGUGCAGUCACUGGCCAUGAUAUCUAAUGGUUGCUUUGUAAAUGUCCUCAGAGUGGGGAGAGAUGCAUAAUUGAGGCUUCUAAAGCUCGUGACUGACUCACUGUGCGUGGAUGUGCUUGGGGCUUUAUCCACUCCAUAACCUGGAGGCAUAAAUAGACUCACAAAUCAUUGCAUAACGGGGCCUUGCCUGCAAUUUAGAAUAAAGGUCUCUCAGCACAGCCACUAAUGCAUUUUGUGAACUUGGAUGACCUCUGUUGACCUCAUUUUUUAGUUUCUAAAAUGGAAAAUAGUAGUAUUUUGCCAAGGUAACGUUUACAGAGGUGAAGCCUUUUGUUAAAUGCUUUGCAAUUCACAGGUUAAGUGAUUUGGAGACAGAAGUGUAUUUAAAUUGUUAC